GGACGAAACGGGUUUUCACAGUGAUUAUCAGAUUGUGCAAUUUCUGAGAUCAUUGUGAAAGCUGAUUUUGUCU